UACCAGCUCCUCGAGUGGUCGGGGCGAUUAUUGGGCCUAAAGCAUCCGUAGCCGGUUCCGUAGGUCCUCUGUUAAAUCCAUCAGCUCAACUGAUGACCUGCAGAGGAUACCGCGGGACUAGGAGGCGGGAGAGGCGGACGGUACUCCGCGUGUAGGGGUAAAAUCCUUUGAUCCGCGGAAGACCACCAGUGGCGAAGGCGGUCCGCCAGAACGCGCUCGACGGUGAGGGAUGAAAGCUGGGGGAG
rnacentral:rRNA from 1 species